AAUGUACUCCCUUCGUCCCAAAAUUCUUGUCUUAGAUUUGUCUAGAUGCGGAUGUAUUCCGUAUUUAAAAAAAUCUAAGACAAGAAUUUUAGGACGGAGGGAGUAUAAU
rfam:Triticum aestivum genome assembly, contig: Triticum_aestivum_CS42_TGACv1_scaffold_578723_7BL